CAAGAAUGUGAAAUAUUUUUCUCUUAUUUUAAUUUAAUUUUUAUUGGCAUCUUACUUAAUUGCAUCGUGGUUCAAAGAUUCUUGUCAUUUGAUACCGAUAUUUUGAAAUUUGCUGAGAUGCCUUAUGUCCACGUGCAGAGGUCUACAAACUUUUUCUGUUAAAGGUCAGAUAGUAAAUACUUUAAGCUUUGUGAGCCAUAUUUUCUCUUCACCUUAUCAAUUUUUACUUUAUAUAAUUUAAUAUUAUUUUAUUAGGUGCACAUAAAUUUAGAAUUUUUACAUCUUCUUGGUGAAUUUGGCUUUUAAAACACUGUUAUGGGUGCCCCCCUUUAUACUUAAUAACUUUUUAGUCAUAACAUCUAUUAUUUCUAAUAAAAAUCUAGCCAUAUCAGCUUUCUUUUGGUUAAUAUUUGCCGGUUAUUUCUUUUUUUGUCUUUUUAUUUUCAAGCUUUACUUGUUCUAAGUUUUGGUGGAUCUCUUCUGAACAUCACACAACUAGAUUUAAAAAAUCCUUUCUCUCAUUAUCUGCUUUUUUGACUUAUGAGUAUACUCCAUUGGUGUAUUGUGAUUGUAGACUUAUCUGGACUUGUUUAUGCCAUGUCAUUUUAAAUUUCUAUUUGUCGCACUUUUUCUAUGGUUUUUUUUUUCUCGUUUUAUGUGAGAGAUAGUCGCGAUUGGCAAAUAUUCCUUGCACUGCCCCACAGGAACAUUCGAAUUUAGGAGAAGCAACAUGAGUAAUCCUGAGGAUAGGAAUGAAAGUGACAUGUCACUCCUGAUCCAAAGCUGGAAAGAGUGGGUUUGAGUUCUCCAUGUGUUCCUUUACCCGGCUGCAACGAUGUACAGCAUACCCGACAGCGACGCCUUCAUCAGUAAACUUCUAUCACUCAAGAUUGAAUCCUCAUCUUGUAUCAGAAUCAGCCAGCUGUCGGCCAAAAUUUGUGAUCCUGUGCAGAGAAUUGAGUUGUCACUGGAAGCAGCUACCCAGACAAGGACUAGAUUUUCCCAUUCCUCCUGCACCAGAAGUUGUCUUCCUUCCGAUGCCAACCUGUGGAAUCUGAAACCAGAUGACCAUGAGAUCCAGGAGACAGCAGAGCCAAAAGGGAAAAAAAACCCUGGAUUCCUGAAUCACCAAAUGGAAGAAAGCCACCCACAGAUCAGUAACACCCAUCCUGGCCUGUGAUGUGAGUGAGAAAGAAACUUUGAUUUUACAUAAGUCUGCAGUGGAGGAUGGAGAAAAUUAAGAUUGUAUGUUUUCAAAUGACCCAAUAAACCCAAUGCUGCCUUGGACAAUCACUUCCCAGCCUAAGAAAACAUGCACUGAAAGCAAAGUAAAACAGUAACACUUUUUAAAAGAUAUGACUUCAGCUUCCAACCCUACUUCAGAACUUGUGAGCCAUACAAAAGUAAGGAAAUGAAGGCCCCAAACUAAGUGAUGAUGGGAACUUGGAGAAAUGGGGAGCUAUAGCUAGUUUCACCUUUGGGAUGCAUGUCAAACUAUGUGAACUUACUGUAAAGCCCAGCCUGCAGGCGACAGCUUCAAUCUGCAGAGGUAGUCGCAUUCUAAGUAUGCUCUAGCUCUGCCAAUCGAAAUGUGGUCCAGGAGAAGAGCACUAUCGACAUCCUGAGGAGCUUGUUAGAAAAGCAGAAUCCCAGAUCUACGGAAUCCAAACCUGCAUUUCAACAAGUCCCCCUGGUUGACCCGUGUGCACAUUAAAGUUUAAGACAACAGGACUGUAGAACUUUUUGUGUGAGUUCUUCUGUGCAGACUAUUCACAGAGACUAAUUCUUCAGUCACUUCGAACUCUGCGUUGACUCCUCAAAUAAACAACUGAGCAGUAUUUAUAACAUCUGUUGACUCAUCAAGAGCCAAGAAAAACCACUCAAAUCAUUUGCCUUGUUUUUCAAUUGACUAUUGAUGUUGCUCCCAAUGUCCUCAACUCUGCCAGCAACUGUUGUCACCGAAAGGCAAAUAGUCUCGAAGAAGUUUAUUUUCUCUGGACACAUUUCUUUGGCUGCUGCAAACAAACAUGAUUUAAUUAACUUACCCUCGGUGAAAGGCUUUCCUUGCUUGGUUAACAAAUGCGUCACUCAGAAGCUUACUUUGAUUGCAGUCUUAUUUUCAUGUUUUAUUUUUGCGAAGGAAUUCUGCUGUGCUGAGAAAUUCCAUUUUUAAAUUUUCUAAUUUUCUUCUGACCAUUGCUUUCCUAUGGGUUGGAGAUACUGUGAUGAGAGCUUAGUCUGAUAAUGUCAGUGCACAGUGUAUUCUUUUAGCACAGCUAUAAUGUCAGACUAAACACAAUUCUUUGCCAUCUGACACAAGAACAAAAUGAUCCUCACUCCACUAUGCCUUAAAGUGUGAUAUUCGAAGCCACGGUUUGUCAACCCCAGAAUAGACCACUGAGUUUUACUGAAGGAUGGUCUCCAGGAACGGGAAAGGGCAAAGCCAGCUCUUUUCUCACCAUGUUGGAAUUGUGGGAAGAACAAGAGGAGGACGAGAGGGAGGUGCAUGAGAGCAGCAAUUAUGAUUUGGUUUCCUUUCUCCUGGCUUUGUCCACAGCGGGGAGAUGCAAUAGCUUAGAAUGGUGUCACCAAGGGUAGAGAGGGCUUUAGCCUCCCAUCAGUAGGUGGACAAGGCUCAAUGCUCCGUAGACAAGCUGAUGCCAGCCAGCACAUGUCAAAGAUCUUCACUAGACAAUGGGCUCCUCUUUCUCCUCCCCAAAGCUGUACUAUGACUGAGAAUUUUCUAAAGGGAUUGUUUAAAUUACCAGGGCAAGCUAAACUGUAAAUUAGAGUCUCACUUCCUCACCCCCACUAAUCAGGAUGCAGGUGCUUAUGAAGG
ensembl:lncRNA